rnacentral:rRNA from 1 species
AGGGUGUAAACGCUGCAGACUUGGUGUUGGAGGCCCUUUGGGGGCAUUCAGUGCCGGAGAGAAGUUGUUAAGUCUGCUACUUGGGGAGUACGUCCGCAAGGAUGAAACUUAAAGGAAUUGGCGGGGGGAGCACCGCAACGGGACGGAGCGUGCGGUUUAAUUGGAUUCAACACCGUAAAACUCACCAGGGAAGACUGUUACAUGAAGGCCGAGAUGAAGACUCUGCUAGAUUUUCAGAGAGGUGGUGCAUGGCGUCAGUGACU